rnacentral:lncRNA from 10 species
AGAACUGCACGGAAGUCUUCAGUUCUACCUCCAGGGCCUACAACCAAGGCCCGCCUGCCCUAGGAAUCCCUCAGAUCCUACUCCCUGAAGAGGGUACCAUCUGUGGGUGGCUUCCCCGGCUCUGCCAGCCCCUAGCCCCUCUGCCUCCGAUGCUCUAACCCUUCCUUAAGCCCCUCUUCCAGGGAGUCCUGGACCUGCUCACCUUCAGCAGGAUAUACCCUUCCUCCCUCUGCCUUGGGCUCACAGCUUCUCCAGAUCACUCAGUCUGGGGGAAUCCAGCCGCCUAUCAUGAGGACACUCAAGCAGCCCUGUGGAGAGGUCCAUGUAGUGAGAAACUGAAGCCUCCUGCCAACAGCCAGCAAGGAUCUAAGACCUCUUUGCCUAUAGUCAUGUGAGUGAGUCAUCUUGGAAGUGGAUCCUCCUGUCUUCAGACGUGCACCUCAUAAGAGAUCUUGAACCAGAACCACCUGGCUAAGCCGUUCUCAAUGUCUGACCCACAGAAACUGUGAGAUCAGAAAUGCUUGUUGUUUUAAGCUGCUAAGUGUGGGGGCUAAUGUAUUGCUCAGCAUAACUCAUACAGAGGCUUUCCUCAAAUAUUUGAUAAGGCCCUGUUUAGUUGUUUUCACAGAAGGAGAAAAAGGAAAGUUGUGAGAAGCUGUGAAUACCUGGGCAGAGCUUGUCUGCUUGUGGGUGUUGCUUCAGGGUGAUCAGGUAGGGAGAUGGCCAAAACACUGAAGACCUACAAAGGGUAGAAAGAGGAGAUCUCUCAUUCAGUUCACCAAGGGCUUCAGGGUCUAAAGUCUCUCUUGGUUCUAGAAGGCAGAUGGGCAUCUCCUUCACCUGUAUCCCCUCCACUCUAGCUCUACCCUUCCCUGCAUUGCCAAUGACCACUGCACUGCCAAUACACCCUUCUAAUUGCAAGAAAUGUAUUGAAGCCUCCUCUCGGCUGUUAGACUUCCACCCACUGUCUUUGACAUCAUCAGCUACACUUUUUUUUUUACCUACCAUUUUAUUGGAUCCCUGGAGGAAGAUAAGAUAAUGUCUAGUAAUUUAACCACAAGUCCCUCCCUUUAACUCCUAAUCUUUGCAUCGGAGUCUCACUCUGUCACCCAGGCUAGAGUGCAGUGGUGCUAUCUUGGCUUACUGCAAUCUCUGCCUCCCAGGUUCAGGCAAUUCUCCUGCCACAGCCUCCUGAGUAGCUAGGAUUACAGGCAUGCACCACCAUGCCUGGCUAAUUUUUGUAUUUUUAGUAGAGACAAGGUUCCACCAUGUUGGCCAGGCUGGUCUCGAACUCCUGACCUCCAGUGAUCUGCCUGUCUCAGUCUCCUAAAGUGCUGUGAUUACAAGGCAUGAGCCACCACGCCUGGCCUGCAUCACUUUAUUUUUAACUCAUCUCUUGUAUACAACUUAUAGUUAAUUUGUUUGCUUAACCAAA